GCGGACGGGUGAGUAAUGCCUAGGAAUCUGCCUGGUAGUGGGGGAUAACGUCCGGAAACGGGCGCUAAUACCGCAUACGUCCUGAGGGAGAAAGUGGGGGAUCUUCGGACCUCACGCUAUCAGAUGAGCCUAGGUCGGAUUAGCUAGUUGGUGGGGUAAAGGCCUACCAAGGCGACGAUCCGUAACUGGUCUGAGAGGAUGAUCAGUCACACUGGAACUGAGACACGGUCCAGACUCCUACGGGAGGCAGCAGUGGGGAAUAUUGGACAAUGGGCGAAAGCCUGAUCCAGCCAUGCCGCGUGUGUGAAGAAGGUCUUCGGAUUGUAAAGCACUUUAAGUUGGGAGGAAGGGCAGUAAGUUAAUACCUUGCUGUUUUGACGUUACCAACAGAAUAAGCACCGGCUAACUUCGUGCCAGCAGCCGCGGUAAUACGAAGGGUGCAAGCGUUAAUCGGAAUUACUGGGCGUAAAGCGCGCGUAGGUGGUUCAGCAAGUUGGAUGUGAAAUCCCCGGGCUCAACCUGGGAACUGCAUCCAAAACUACUGAGCUAGAGUACGGUAGAGGGUGGUGGAAUUUCCUGUGUAGCGGUGAAAUGC
rnacentral:rRNA from 1 species